rnacentral:lncRNA from 1 species
AAUUAAAAAAAAUCAAAAAAAUCCAACAACACAAGAAUCGAGUAUGUGAGGGAGAGGGAGAAAAACUACCUCUAGCUUUCUUGACGAUGUUAGUGUAGAGACCAGGACCGUUAGUCAUGGCUUGAUGCGGUGGAAAUGAAAGACCUUUAAGAGAAGUGAAAAACCUGAGAAUGAUUGUAUGAAGUCAUCCUAGUUCCAUAUGACAUGUCAUCCUCUUUCACAGUCGAUCUGUGAUACGAAAACUGCAGUGAAAAAAAUCAAAGAACACAAAACCAAAUCAAAAACUAAAAAAUCAAUAAACGAAAAAUGGUCAAAAGAAAAUAGAGAAGACAAAAUCAAUCACAAAGUUAAG